rnacentral:misc_RNA from 1 species
AACGCAUAUUGCGCUCGAGGCUUCGGCCAAGAGCAUGUCUGCCUCAGCGUCGGUUUGUCCUCUUCAACAGGACAUGUUUUCUCGAGCGAACGUCAUAUAUGUGAUGCUCGUCCGGAGUUGGCCUUCUCAGGAGUGUAACGCUUCUGAGUCGGUUGAAGUGCAGAAGUAUGCAUGCACCCGACUUCAAGGUUGGGUCACAGCAGGAUUGGCACAUAUCUGCACCGGCACACCUCUAACAAAGGUGUUGUUGCUGCCGGAUUUUGCACGAAGUUGUGCUCCUAACUGGGUUGCUGCUGCUUUGGAUGACGGGAGGGGAGGUUGAUUCCUUUCUCCACCCAAGUCAUCAACGUACACCUCAAAUCUCGACCUGAGCUCAGGCAAGACCACCCGCUGAACUUAA